rnacentral:rRNA from 1 species
AUUGAACGCUGGCGGCAUGCCUUACACAUGCAAGUCGAACGGUAACAGGUUAAGCUGACGAGUGGCGAACGGGUGAGUAAUGCAUCGGAACGUGCCCGAUCGUGGGGGAUAACGCAGCGAAAGCUGCGCUAAUACCGCAUACGAUCUGAGGAUGAAAGCGGGGGACCGUAAGGCCUCGCGCGAUCGGAGCGGCCGAUGUCAGAUUAGGUAGUUGGUGGGGUAAAGGCUCACCAAGCCGACGAUCUGUAGCUGGUCUGAGAGGACGACCAGCCACACUGGGACUGAGACACGGCCCAGACUCCUACGGGAGGCAACAGUGGGGAAUUUUGGACAAUGGGCGAAAGCCUGAUCCAGCAAUGCCGCGUGCAGGAAGAAGGCCUUCGGGUUGUAAACUGCUUUUGUACGGAGCGAAAAGGCUCUCUCUAAUACAGGGGGCUCAUGACGGUACCGUAAGAAUAAGCACCGGCUAACUACGUGCCAGCCGCCGCUGUAA